rnacentral:snRNA from 1 species
AUACUUACCUGGCAGGGGAGAUACCAUGAUCAGCAAGGUGGUUUUCCCAGUGUGAGGCUCAUCCAUUGCACUGCGGGUGUGCUGACCUCUGUGAUUUCCCCAAAUGUGGGAAACUCAACUGCAGAAUUUGUGGUAGUGGGGGACUGCGUUCGCGCUUUCCCCUG